AGUGAACGCUGGCGGUAGGCCUAACACAUGCAAGUCGAACGGCAGCACAGUAAGAGCUUGCUCUUACGGGUGGCGAGUGGCGGACGGGUGAGGAAUACAUCGGAAUCUACUUUUUCGUGGGGGAUAACGUAGGGAAACUUACGCUAAUACCGCAUACGACCUACGGGUGAAAGCAGGGGAUCUUCGGACCUUGCGCGAUUGAAUGAGCCGAUGUCGGAUUAGCUAGUUGGCGGGGUAAAGGCCCACCAAGGCGACGAUCCGUAGCUGGUCUGAGAGGAUGAUCAGCCACACUGGAACUUGGACGCCGUCACGGCUCCUACGGGAGGCAGCAGUGGGGAAUAGUGGACAAUGGGCGCAAGCCUGACACAGUCAUCCCGCGUGGGUGAAGAAGACCUUCGGGUUGUAAAGCCCUUUUGUUGGGAAAGAAAAGCAGCAGGCUAAUACCCCGCUGUUCUGACGGUACCCAAAGAAUAAGCACCGGCUAACUUCGUG
rnacentral:rRNA from 1 species